rnacentral:rRNA from 1 species
GAUGAACGCUGGCGGCGUGCUUAAUACAUGCAAGUCGAGCGAACAGACGAGGCGCUUGCUCCUUUGUCGUUAGCGGCGGACGGGUGAGUAACACGUGGAACACCUACCUAUAAGACUGGGAUAAUUUCGGGACACCGGAUCUAAUACCGGAUAAUAUAUUGAUCCGCAUGGUUCAAUAGUGAAAGUCGGUUUUGCUGUCUCUUAUAGAUGGAUCCGCGCCGCAUUAGCUAGUUGGUAAGGUAACGGCUUAUCAAGGCAACGAUGCGUAGGCGACCUGAGAGGGUGAUCGGCCACACUGGAACUGAGACACGGUCCAGGCUCCUACGGGAGGCAGCAGUAGGGAAUCUUCCGCAGUGGGCGGAAACCUGACGGAGCAACGCCGCGUGAGUGAUGGAGGUCUUCGGAGCGUAAAACUCUGUUAUUAGGGAAGAACAAAUGUGUAAGUAACUAUGCACGUCUUGACGGUACCUAAUCAGAAAGCCACGGCUAACUACGUG